GACGAACGCUGGCGGCGUGAUUAACACAUGCAAGUCGAACGAAGUGGCGAACGGGUGAGUAACGCGUAAUCAACCUGCCCUUCAGAGGGGGACAACAGUUGGAAACGACUGCUAAUACAGCAUACUGAAGGAGGGGAUUGCGUCUGAUUAGCUAGUUGGAGGGGUAACGGCCCACCAAGGCGAUGAUCAGUAGCCGGUCUGAGAGGAGGAACGACCCCAUUGGGACUGAGACACGGCCCAGACGCCUACACUAGACAUCACUGUAAAAUCUUCCGCAAUGGACGAAAGUCUGACGCAGCAACGCCGCGUGAGUGAUGACGGCCUUCGGGUUAUAAACCUCUGUUAAUCGGGACGCGGUACCGGAAUAGAAAGCCACGGCUAACUACGUGCCAGCAGCCGCGGUAAUUC
rnacentral:rRNA from 1 species